UACGGAGGGGGCGAGUGUUGUUCGGAAUUACUGGGCGUAAAGGGCGCGCAGGCGGCAUGGCAAGUCGAGUGUGAAAUCCCCCGGCUUAACUGAGGAAUGGCGCUCGAAACUACCUCGCUGGAGGGCGGGAGAGGGAAGUGGAACUCUCGGUGUAGGGGUGAAAUCUGUAGAUAUGACAUAGAAUACCAAUUGCGAAGGCAGCUGGCUACGCGAAUAUUGACACUCAGGCACGAAAGCGUGGGGAUCAAACAGG
rnacentral:rRNA from 1 species